AGUGAACGCUGGCGGUAGGCCUAACACAUGCAAGUCGAACGGCAGCACAGUAAGAGCUUGCUCUUACGGGUGGCGAGUGGCGGACGGGUGAGGAAUACAUCGGAAUCUACUUUUUCGUGGGGGAUAACGUAGGGAAACUUACGCUAAUACCGCAUACGACCUACGGGUGAAAGCAGGGGAUCUUCGGACCUUGCGCGAUUGAAUGAGCCGAUGUCGGAGUAGCUAGUUGGCGGGGUAAAGGCCCACCAAGGCGGGGAUCCGUAGCUGGUCUGAGAGGAUGAUCGGCCACACUGGAGCUGGGACACGGUCCAGACUCCUACGGGAGGCAGCAGUGGGGAAUAUUGGACAAUGGGCGCAAGCCUGAUCCAGCCAUACCGCGUGGGUGAAGAAGGCCUUCGGGUUGUAAAGCCCUUUUGUUGGGAAAGAAAAGCAGCAGGUUAAUACCCCGCUGUUCUGACGGUACCCAAAGAAUAAGCACCGGCUAACUUCGUG
rnacentral:rRNA from 1 species